GAAGAAAGAGUGAAUAAGAAUUAUAUCUUUUCGUUCACUUGUAUGAGAACUUGGGCAGUUGUUGUGUGCAGUUGUCGUAUGUUUUCGAAAGGGAAUCCGGUUGAUAUUCCGGAACCGAGUAACGGAGACAAAGAGUAGCGCUUUAAUCUCUCUGUGGGGUUGGCGUUCAACUCAAUCGCGCGGUAACGCAAGCGAACUCGGAAAAUGACCGUCGUGAGUUUCGAAAAGAGUUUUCUUUUCUUUUUAAGGGACGCAUUCCCUGGAACCGGGUUGUCCGGAGAUAGGGAUUCUGGUAUCCAUAAAACGCCGACUUUUUCACGGUGUUCGGAGCGCUCUCGUCGGUACGUGAAAAUCCGAGCGACGCCUGGUAAAUCUCGUACUUGGUCGUACUGAUAUCC
rnacentral:ncRNA from 1 species